rnacentral:rRNA from 1 species
UCCGCAGGCGGGCGAUUAAGUCAGGGGUGAAAUGGUGCGGCUCAACCGUAGCACUGCCCUUGAUACUGGUUGUCUUGAGUCAUAGUGGAGUGGCUGGAAUAUGUAGUGUAGCGGUGAAAUGCAUAGAUAUUACAUAAAACACCAAUCGCGAAGGCAGGUCACUAACUAUCGACUGACGCUGAUGGACGAAAGCGUGGGGAGCGAACG